rnacentral:rRNA from 1 species
UACGGGGGGGGUAAGCGUUGUUCGGAAUUACUGGGCGUAAAGGGCUCGUAGGCGGCCAACUAAGUCAGACGUGAAAUCCCUCGGCUUAACCGGGGAACUGCGUCUGAUACUGGAUGGCUUGAGUUUGGGAGAGGGACGCGGAAUUCCAGGUGUAGCGGUGAAAUGCGUAGAUAUCUGGAGGAACACCGGUGGCGAAGGCGGCGUCCUGGACCAACACUGACACUGAUGAGCGAAAGCCAGGGGAGCAAACGGG